AUGGGGGCACGACAGGAGGGGCACGUGGCACAGGUCCGGAGCCAGGCGUCGACGCAUGCGACAUGGAAGCCGUGGCCGCACCGUGGCAGCACGCGCAGGGCCUCCCCCUCCAUGUACUCCGCCAGGCAGAUCGCACAUUCUGACGACGAGCCUGUCGCAGGCGUCGGAGAAGGCCCGUUGGCGACGAAGGAGACGGUGGGGAGCGCGUGGAUAACUUUCUUCUUGAGGCCCUUCGGGGGAGGAGGAGCGUCAUCGAAUGAUGAGGCCGAGCGGCGGCGACGGCACGUGCACCGGGAGAUGAGGGCGAGGCCGAGGACGCAGACGAGCGCACAUAGCAACGACGCUAGGAUGAGCACCAUGUCCGAGUUGACCGCCAUCGGAGGCGCCGUCUGCUGCUGCUGCUCAGGUGCCUUCAUACUCACCGGCGACGACGAUGGCUCGCCCGGGCCACUGUUCGCGAGGGCCGCGCGGUGCAGGAGGUUCGCCGGAGCGCGCAUGAUGUGUGAACUCUGGACUAUUUAUCUAGCUUAUCUUUGA
rnacentral:rRNA from 1 species